CACGUAGGGUGCGAGCGUUGUCCGGAAUUAUUGGGCGUAAAGAGCUCGUAGGCGGUUUGUUGCGUCGGCUGUGAAAUCCCGAGGCUCAACCUCGGGUCUGCAGUCGAUACGAGCAAACUAGAGUGUUGCAGGGGAGACUGGAAUUCCUGGUGUAGCGGUGAAAUGCGCAGAUAUCAGGAGGAACACCGGUGGCGAAGGCGGGUCUCUGGGCAACAACUGACGCUGGAGGAGCGAAAGCCGUGGGGAGCGAACAGG
rnacentral:rRNA from 1 species